rnacentral:rRNA from 1 species
UACGGGGGGGGCAAGCGUUGUUCGGAAUUACUGGGCGUAAAGCGCACGUAGGCGGAUUGUUAAGUCGGGGGUGAAAUCCUGGAGCUCAACUCCAGAACUGCCUUCGAUACUGGCGAUCUCGAGUUCGGGAGAGGUGAGUGGAACUGCGAGUGUAGAGGUGAAAUUCGUAGAUAUUCGCAAGAACACCAGUGGCGAAGGCGGCUCACUGGCCCGAUACUGACGCUGAGGUGCGAAGGCGUGGGGAGCAAACAGG